AGUGAUUUUACCUGCCUGUGUGGCUGCUGAAGACAUGAAAUGAGAUGUUGGUGGUAAAGCAAUUUGUGUUUGGCAUGGGAGUUCAUAAAUAUUAACUAGCAUGAAACACAAGUCAUUUGAAAGCACACUUUUCUCAGCGCUAAAUUGUCAAGUGAGAGCGAGUGCAUACACAAGACAACAGGCGAACCUCCGAGGACUCUGCUCUACUGCACAGUGAUCUCGGCGUCGGUGAAAUUGCCAGAUAAACUGCAGGACCGUUGUUCCUUGGAAGUUUCUUUUAUUGAGAGACACCAUCUUACAGAAAACAUUUAAGUGAAUUAAUAAUGAGGCAAGAACAUCGCAGGCAAUAAAUAAUGUGGCAUCCAAGAUUA